UGUCUAAAAUAUUAGAGAAUGAUCAGCUUCUGGAUAUGCUCAAAUAUGCCGAUAGGCAUGCAACCAUGGCUUAAUCCAACUUUAUUGACGCUUCUUUUUUAACUUGCGUUCUUGCUCAUUUUUCAACGAUUCUCUUACUUUUACUCUUCCUUGUCUUUCUUUCGACUAGCAUAUUUUCUUUAUUGAAAUAUUUUCAUUCUUAAUAACCAUAAUCUUUCAUUAUAUACUACUGAAUUUGCUUCCUAUUUUCCAACUACUCAUCCGACAGUUAAUUCUUAACACUCAAUGCUAUUAUCAAUCCCCGAUAGGAGCACGAAAAAUGUGAUUGUCAUUUUACUUAUUCUAUAAUUUCUUCCAGAAUAAACAUAUAUAAGGAAAUUCGAACACAGGGAAAGACUAAACACAUGAGUUUCACUUGUUAGGAUCACACAAUUAAUUGUAUUCCGAACCACUAAAACACUAAGAAACACUACAAUGCUUCCUCCUAGUAAUAAUAUUCUUUCAUCAACUGAUAACCACA
rnacentral:lncRNA from 1 species